GGCUGGGGAAGGCCGUGGCUCUGCGAAGUGGGUAUGCGAACAAGUUCGACGGCAAGGUCUCAGCCUAUCCGGGCCACGAAGGAGGCGGAAGCAUCGACCUCGAGAUCUGCCUUCCGCCGACGACGAUGGCACUCCUCGAAGCUGACCCGGAAUUCAUGGCCGCCGUGACGGAUUCGUAGGUGGGAGGGCCAAAGUCAACACGGCCGUCAUGCGCAAGUCGAGUCAACACGCGUUAGGAGGAAUAAAGAUUUGUUAUUUGACUACGAAUUUUAAGUUGACUCAUCUCUUAACGUAAUACCCAAUAAAUUAUGAGUUUACAUUCUAUGUACGCUUGGUCCGGGAAAAUUUCAAGUAAGAGCUGAAGUGUGGCCCUUUUCUUAUGCCGCUUUUCAAGUUACUGGCAUUUUAUCCAAAGUUGUCUUUUACUUGCUUUCUCCUCCCUUUUUUUUUCUCGGUUCUUCUUCUUCCCUCUUGCUCCAGUUGACUCUCCCAUUCAUCUUUUCUUAUUCGAAGGCAGUCAUUUCUUCAUCAAUCGCUCGAGUUUGCCGGUGAUCGACGACGACGGUUUGGCAUGGACUGAGCGUGUGUGAUUUCCCAAAGAAGAGCAAGUCUCGUAUGAAAAGGUCUGAAGCUUUAAGACAGUGGGCUCACUUGAGCCAAGAGCUGCGUUCUCUCCAUGCCACUGACGAGGACCAAAGAUGGAUUCCGCCCAGAUAAAAAGAAAACAUAAAACACAAGUUUUUCCUCAGAAGAUAAAACACUGAUCUUUGAACAUAUUGGGUCACGGCCAGAGUAAAGAACUUCAAUGAAGGGCUGCUUUAUUAGUGUUGGGUUCUUCAGAUUAUGCUGAUGCUUCCGCUGGAGUCCUAGGAUAGAUAAAUCCAUGUGGUGAGAAGAGGUGCCCCUUGGCCGGACCCCGUUCUGCUCACCCGCGGCGAUGAAAACUUCCCUAUUACAAAUUCAAUCGAAUCAUGCGCGUAUCCCUAUCGAUUCUUUGGUCACGCUAUGGAUUGAGCGUGAAACCAAAAAUAUGUAGAGUCUAAAAGUGAGGUGACCGGCCUUUCGUAAGAGAUUGAAGGCUUGUUUGGUAACACGCUCGGAAAUAACUGAUUUUGUUCUUUUGUUUUCGGGGAGAAGAAAAGAACAGAAAUCUGUUUGGUAAAUUUCUUGUUCCUCAAAAUAAAAAUCCAUUUUUUUGUUCUUCAGAAUAGAUUUGGAAUAAAAUCAAUAUAUAGAAAAAAAUUGGUUUUUAUUCCCAAGAAUAAUUCUUAGAAUCAAGUCUAAUUUUUUAUUUUCUCUUCUAUUUCCUUGUCUUUUCUCCUAGCCACAGUGAAGCAAACCUCGCGUGGCUUGGGUGAGCUGGAGCCUCAUGGUGGCCAAGUGAGCCUCCAGCAAGCUCAUUGGCCCUCACUCGAUGGCCAGCGACCGGCCCAUAAAGAAGAAGGAAGAAGAAGAGAAAAAGAAAAAGAAAAAAAGAGAAAAAUAUGAUAAAAGUAUUAAAAAAUUAAAAGAAAUAAAAAAUUAAACCCACUUCUACCCGCUCGCCGGCCGCCUCGCCACCCUCAAGCAGAUCGACCCCCCCCUCCACACUGUCUUCGUCGACUGCGCCGACAGCCCUGGUGCCCGCUUCAUCCACGCUGCGCUCCUUGACAUGACCGUUGUUGGUAAAAUAUGGCUUCGUAUUCGGUAGAACAAUGAAGUCAGAUCGUUAGAGUACUUAAGUCGGACUUUGAGGCGUGAUAUCACUUUCUUUAAGGAUUUAUUUGCCCCACAACGUUGCUAAUGGUUACCGGCAAAUUUCUUAUCUUUGUCUUUCGAAUAGAGGCAACUCUUCAAAAUGUUGCAAAAAGAAUAAAGACAACCUUUCGGGAUAGGUUGUAAAAUGAACAAGCACGUCUCAAAUGUUACGUUGAAAAGACAUAAAAAUUCGGAAUUAAAUAAAUAAUAAAUAAUAAAUAAUCGUAACUUUUCAUGAAUAGUCGCAUUGUUUCAAUAAGACUUUAUAAUUAAUUUUUUAAAGAAAUAAAUCCGAAUUUUCAAUAAAUAAAAAUAAUGAUCGUUGGUUAGUGCCAAAUCUCGUCCACGUGCGCACUCACAUCUUUUUGAUGUGGGACAAGGCACUUCUUCAUUUGUUUUAUAAACAAAUUACCAACAAUCCCCCACUUUUGUUUAUAAAACAAAAACAAGAAAUAAAAUGUUAGAAAUAUACAGCCAAAAUUUCCGUGAGAUUAAUAUACAUACAUAAAGGUCUCUCGAGUUAAACCUUUACUUAGUAUAAGUAUCUCAAAGCCCUAUCAAAGUGACAAGUAGCUCGGCUUUAAACUUGUACUUUUAUAUAAUAGAACCAGACAUACCACACAUACACUAACCUCUUGUUUCAACGAGAAGUUCUAUAUUACUCCGCACUAUUAUGGCCUUGUGCUUGAUCCUGUUUCAUGAGCUCUCUAGAAAGCAACCCUAACUUUCGUAAGAAGCGGCACCACUUCUAAGCUCAUAUAGGUGAAGUAUCUACUAUGUGUUUCUGUUACUAUCAACACAUUAUAAGUUUGUACUAUACUUCAUUAAGAAUUCAAUCCAACCUACAAAACGUAACAGACUAUACUGACUUCUCAUAUCAGGGCUACGUCAAUAUCAAACAAUCACAUUCAAUAACUUGUUCUUACCCAUUAAACCUUAUAACUAGUGAUGUUCUAGAAAAAUGUCGGGUUACCAUUAUUGGUGAUUUCAAUUAAAUGGUUUCAGCCUCGUUUCUUAUGAGGUCAUUAUUACCAUAUCUCUUGGUAAAGCCUUUGUCAAGGGAUCGGCAAGACUAUUACUUGACCUCACGUAGACAAUUGUUAUGGUACCAUCUUUAAUCAAUUGUCUCACAUAUUCAUGUCUUUAAACUAGUAUGUCUAGACUUACUAUUAUAUGUGCUACUAUAUGCUCUUACCAAAGUAGCCUAACUAUCACAGUUGAUAGAGAAAUAAGAGGCAUAGGACUAGGCCAUAAUUUGAUAUUCAACAACAAAUUCCUAAUCCAUCAAUAUCUUUCCCACUUGCUACUAAGCAAUGAUUCAAGUUUCAUAGUUGAGUGAAUUAUGCACAUUUGUUUCUUGCUCGCCUAAGAAACAACACAUUCACGUAAUGUGAAAAUCCAUCUAGAAGUUUCAUCUCCCAUACUUGUAAUCCAACUAGUAUCGGUGUAUCUUUAUAAUAUAACCAAAUAAUUAUUAUAGAACAAUCACAAAUUUUAGGUUCUUUUAAAAUAACCAAAAAAUUCUAAUAAUAGCCUUUCAAUGUUCUAUAAUUGGAUUACUAGUAUAUCUACUCAACUUGCAUAUAUAAAAAGUAAUAUCAGAUCUAGUAUAAUGUAUCGCAUACAUUAAAGACCCAUAGCACUCACAUUAAAAACUCUCCACUAGUAAUCAAAUGGAGUACUUAUAUAUUUGAAAACAAGAUGUUUAAAUCUAUUCAACAUCCUUUCCAUGUAAUCACUUUGGCUCAAAGGAUAACCCCCACUAUUUUUUUUUAAUUUUAACACCCAAUAAGGUAUCUACUUCACUCAAAUCUUUCAUUUAAAAUGAAAGUUAGAUAUUUUUUUUUUUUAAUGACUCCAAUCACAUUCGCUCCAUAGUCCCCUUCAAAUAUCCCCACUUCAAGACUAUUUUAAGAGGCAUCCAAUAUGAUAACGUAUGUUUCAUCAUCAUAUCCAAUUAAUAAUAAACCAAGUACAGAAAUCCAUACAAGGAUGGGAAAUAAGUAAAUAGAUAAAUUCUAGCAAUUUAUACACCAUCCCUAACAAUCAAAAGCAUGUGAGAACAGAAGCAUACAACAAAUAAUUUUUCAAUAGCUUCGCCAAGACAAACCGACGGUAGAACGAAAGAUUGCCCCAUUAUUACGAUGGUUCAUCAUUUCAAUAAGAUCUUUCGAUUGUGUGUAUCCAAAUUCGUCAACAGAAAAACCAAAAGAAAUGUUUACGAAUUUUAGAUCACUAAGAGAACAGUCAAUCGAAUUCUCCAAUUUCUCAUUCUCAGAAAGAUCAAACAAUAGUUAAAAAAGAGAAAAUUUUCCAUAAUGGGUCAACAACACCAAUGCACGGAAUGUGAUAUGAUUCAUUUCUCAAUCAAAUAAUUUCCUCGCUCAAACUAGGAACUUAGAUAGAGAAUCACCAACCAACUUGCAGCGACCACGAUAGAGAUGAAUGACACAGCCGACCAGACAUGCAUCGGCUUCUUGUCCUCGAGAAGUACUCACUUAGAGCUCCAAUCUCGUAAACGUCCUUACGCACGGCCCCUAGAGCCUGCCCAUGACGUACGAGUCCCUCCCGAAGUACUUGGGGAGGAAGGAGUUCUCGUUGCCAAGAGUUUGCCACACGAUGUCCCCACAACCCUUGGCCAACUUCACGCUCAUCUCUGCCGCUCCUUUCAUGAAUUCCUUCGCAUGGUCCACCACAUUCCUGAUCUCUCCGACACUGCCGUCUCCAAAUUCAAUCAUUUUUUUAAUAACUAAAACAAUAUCCCCAUGAGUUCACAUAUUUUGCAGCCAUUUAGACAAAUCUAGAAUGUGACUCCUCGAGGCGGUAAAAAUAAAAAAUCAAAAUUGGGCCAUACCUGCGAAAGUACCUUCUACUUGAUAUGGAUCCAAAAUGUCAAUCCGCGAAAGAGAUUAAAAGGCAUCUUCAAAAAAUAAAAAAAAAUGAAUCCAUCAUGUAACUGCCCCUUGACGAGACCGAGUUAUUGAAGUGUGCAGGGACCCGGACAACACAUUCUUGAUAGUCAUAUCAAGGUAAGCCGCAGGGUCUCACGCAUCUUUGUGAGGAGGGUGGAUGAAAUUUCCUCCACAGCAAACUGCUUCUUUACGACCUUGAAAUUGACGACAAUCAUGGGCUUGAGGCCGGGACCAGCAAUGACCCUUGACGGCCAAUGCCUCAUGUUACUCUGGACUGAAGGAUCGCUAAAUCUCCUCCCGAACAAAGAUCUUGCACUCGAUCUCAUGAUCAGAGUCUCGACAUCCUCGAAGUCGUUUUUAUAAGAUGAGAUGCCAUCUUGCAUGAUAUUUCCAUGAUGGAUUUCGCAUCGUGAGCAAGAGCCUCAUUCAUCACCUUUUGCUCCGGGAAAUUAACGCUGUAAUUCAAUAUUCCACCAUUCUUGUCUUCUCCAUCACAAUAGAUGCCGUCAAGAUUAGUAAGUGUUGAGUCCCAAACCAAACAUCAAAUACAGAGACAAGACAUGGCAUAGCAUUGGGCGCACACAAAAGACAUAAAACACACCCUUAUGACAGAACCAAAAUGGACACAAAAAAUAAAAAUAGCGAGAGAGAGAGAGCCUGUAGAUCUUCCUUGAAACUCUGGCCAACGGUGAUGAGUGAUGAUUGUUGGCGUCGACUAGAAGCCAUCGAGGAACAGACCUGUUGGGAAGUGAAAGAACCUGUCCACUUGCAUGCGUCUGGUGCUCGCAUCGCGCAAUGGCGAACGUGGCCUCUUGCAUCUUUAUCCACGGUCAAACGUUGCCUCGAGAUUUACGGCCACCCGUUGCCUCGAGAUUUACUAAUCGGCAUUGGCAAGGGACUCGUUUCAACUGCUUCCUCAAGACAACGUUCCACGACAUGGACGCCAAAUAUGGACGCUUGUCUUCUGCUAGGCGAAUUUUUUAUUUUUUAUUUUAUUUUGAUGAUCUGGGCCCCCGCAAGAUAUGGAACUUGUAACGUCAAUUAUAGCCGUUUGGUAGUUUCCCUUCUCUCUUCUAAUCAAACACAUAGCGUUCCGGGCAGGAAUCCCAGACAAAUUCUGCAUGGCGAGCAUGUAAAUCACAGACUGCGACUCGGGUUCCCUCAUAGCAAAGAUGAAGUGCUUCGUAUGUUCGGGAACCGGAAGUUUAAGGACCAACUCAUUUGAAACUUUCAGGUCAUCGGAUUACGGCUUGGAGAAGGGCCGUAGAGUACGUAAACUCCAAAGGAAAGAACAUGCCUUCAGGACCACAUUGACUCCCUUCCACUUCUAUCUAAAACUUAAGAAAAUUCGUGAAGUUCAUCCUCCCAAUUUCUUGCAUGGUUCACUCACAAGCCCAAAACAGAACUUCCUCGAAAGGAUUCAGGGAAUAUAUUCAGAGCAAAACUAAGAACAACAAUCAACGUAGUCUUGGAAUGAGAAUAGAAAUGAUAAGGGAUCGGAACAUAAGAAACAUCAAAUGAUCAGCGCACACCGCAUUGCAUCAAAUCACACAAGUAAAAUUGUUGCCAUCAAACCAGUUUAGUAUCACCAUGUCUUGAGUAAUGACUUUGAUUCUCUGACUUCAUUGUAGCAAAAAUAAAUCCUUAAAAUUGUUGGUAAAAUAUGGCUUCGUAUUGGGUAGAACAAUGAAGUCAGAUCGUUAGAGUACUUAAGUCGGACUUUGAGGCGUGAUAUCACUUUUUUUAAGGAUUUAUUUGCCCCACAACGUUGCUAAUGGUCACCGGCAAAUUUCUUAUAUUUGUCUUUCGAAUAGAGGCAACUCUUCAAAAUGUUGCAAAAAGAAUAAAGACAACCUUUCGGGAUAGGUUGUAAAAUGAACAAGCACGUCUCAAAUGUUACGUUGAAAAGACAAAAAAAUUCGGAAUUAAAUAAAUAAUAAAUAAUAAAUAAUCGUAACUUUUCAUGAAUAGUCGCAUUGUUUCAAUAAGACUUUAUAAUUAAUUUUUUAAAGAAAUAAAUCCGAAUUUUCAAUAAAUAAAAAUAAUGAUCGUUGGUUAGUGCCAAAUGUCGUCCACGUGGGCACUCACAUCUUUUUGAUGUGGGACAAGGCACUUCUUCAUUUGUUUUAUAAACAAAUUACCAACAACCGUGGCCGACAUCCUCUCCCCGACGUACGUCCCGUCCAUCGUCCAUUCCUUCUUCGACCACAACUGGGCGGUCAACCACGACGGCCACUCCCUGUCCCUGCUGUCCGCUCAGGUCACCGAGCUCGCUGACGGCGUCUUCAUCGGGCUCUCCAUGAACCACUCUAUCGGCGACGGCACCUCCUUCUGGCUCUUUUUCAACUCGUGGUCCGAGAUCUUCCAAGCGCAACAGAAAGGCGACGUCGAUGUCGUCCAGCUAUCGCGUCCCCCAGUCCUGACCCGCUGGUUCCCUGAGAACCACCCCGGCCCGGUAAGCCUGCCUUCCGCGGACGACCCCUCGUCGUUCCACCCCCGCUACCGAGUCCCGGAUCUCAGGGAGCGAGUCUUUCACUUCUCCGCCGACGCCAUCGCGAGUCUCAAGGCGGAGGCGAACCGGCAAUGCGGCACCCCCAAGAUCUCGUCCUUCCAGUCCCUGACUGCCCUGCUAUGGCGGUGCAUCACGCGCGCUCGCUGCCUGCCGCCCAGCCAGGUCACAAGCUGCCGGGUGAUCUCGAACAAUCGGGCGAGGCUAGACCCCCCUCUCCCGCCGGAAUACUUCGGGAACCCGGUCACGAUGUUGAGGGCGGCGACGACGGCGGGGGAGCUGCUAGGCGGCGGCCUUGGGUGGGCGGCGCUGCUGCUGCAUGCGUUGGUGGCGGAGCACGGGAACGCGAAGGUGCUCGAGUGGAACGAGGAGUGGAUAAAGAGCCCGCAGGUGUACCGCCUGGAUCGGACGUUGGGUCCGUGCAGCAUCAUCAUGUCGAGCUCGCCGCGGUUCAACAUGUAUGGCAACGACUUCGGGCUGGGGAUCCUGGGGAAGGCCGCGGCUCCGCGAAGUGGGUGUGCCAACAAGACCGACGGCAAGGUCACAAGCUAUCCGGGCCGCGAGGGAGGCGGAAGCAUCGACCUCGAGAUCUGCCUUUCGCCGGCCACGAUGGCGUCUCUCGAAGCUGACGCUGAAUUCAUGGCUGCCGUGACGGAUUUGUAGGUCGGAGGAACAACACAGCACGGUGGUUAUGUGCCGGUCGAGUCGACAGCCAUUAGUUAUCAGGAUGAAAAAUUACGGGUUGUGUGACUUGUAAUUUUAUAUUAAGUUGAUUUAUUUCUCAAUCUGUAGUGGAUAAAUUAUGGGUUUUUCUCUUUUAUUUUAUGCUUUGUGUUUGAAUUGAUCCUCAGCCAAAUCUUAUUAUUGGUUAGAAACCGUAGAGUAAAACAUCAUGAUAACUUGUAUGGUGGGCCAAUCUAAUAUUAAAAAAAUUCCGAAGUCGAAAUAUCGGGUAUAGAGUAUCGAAAUUGAAAGAUUCUAUCGC
rnacentral:lncRNA from 1 species